GUUCCAUACUGUGACCCAAGGGCAGAACUCAAGUCAGUAUUAACUGAGAGGCAAAUGGUGGCUGUCUCCUGUUUGAUGUGCAGGCCUGGAAACCACCAGGAAAGGCUUCUGUGAGAAUGGAGUGAAAUGGUGGAGAGAAGCAAGCGUUCAUGGCUUCACCUGCCAUCCCCUGAGGAAUGCUGGCUCCGAAGCACACUGCAAGGCCCCUCAGGCAGCCUCAGUACCGAGACUUCCUCUCCGACUUCCGAUUGCACCAUGAGCAGCAUUGUGGCCCAUCUCCCUGUUGGCGUUCUAGCGGUGUCUGGGAGAGCCACGCACCUGCAUGUGUUGUGCCAGAGGAAGAAGAUUUCUAUGAUGGUCAACACCUGUCCCUCGCUGCUGUAAGCCCUGCCAUGAGGGAAACUCACACACAGGCUGAUGAACUGAGCAGAGACAAUGAGAGCAUGAGAAGAGAGCAGAUGCCCUGGGAAGGCUCCAGCUGCCGGAGCUUCUCAUUGGCGGACAGCCAGCUGCAGAGAAGGAGCAGAUACUCAGUGCUGACACAGAGCUGCAGAAGGUUGCCAUCGGAAAGUCAUUGUAUUUUUAGCAGGUUCCAAAAUAGAUAGCAACCAUAGUUCAAAUUCCUGUCUAAUCCUUUGCCAGCUGUUUGAACAAUCUAAAGUUUAAGAUCUUACUAUUCUUACCAGUUGCUUUGCAACUUAGGAUGAAAACCGUGAGGUUAGGGAUACAAACUACACAGUAGCAUACACAAUGCUGAUUACUGCAGCCAAGAAAAUUAACACGGAGCUCUUUGUGUGUUUGUAUGGUAAGAAUAUUUAAAACGCAUUCUUUCAUCAAAUUACUUGCAUACAAUGAAGCACUUCUUUUCC